GUUAGGAAUAUUGGACAAUAGGCGCAAGCCUGAUCCAGCCAUGCCGCGUGAGUGAUGAAGGCCUUCGGGUUGUAAAGCUCUUUAGUCCACGAAUAUAAUGACUGUAGUGGAAGAAUAAGCCCCGGCUAACUUCGUGCCAGCAGCCGCGGUAAUACGAAGGGGGCGAGUGUUAUUCGGAAUCACUGGGCGUAAAGCGUGCGUAGGCUGUUUUGUAAGUCAGAAGUGAAAGCCCAGGGCUUAACCCUGGAAUUGCUUUUGAAACUACAAGACUCGAAUUCGGGAGAGGAUAGCGGAAUUGUCAGUGUAGCAGUGAAAUGCGUAGAUAUUGACAGGAACACCAGUGGCGCAAGCGGCUAUCUGGACCGAUAUUGACGCUGAGGCACGAAAGCGUGGGGAGCAAACAGGAUUAGAAACCCCGGUAGUCC
rnacentral:rRNA from 1 species